AGUGUUUCUCAGGUGGUUUCAAAAUUAUAUAAUACCAAAUUCAUAUUACAUUUUGUUUGCUAAGCGGCUUCACAAUGAAUUGCAGCCAGCAAACGAAUCAGCUUGAAGAUUAUAAUAGACGUGUGGCCAGUUUGAUUGAGCGCAUGGAGCGGCUAGAGGCUUCGUUAAAUACUCUUUCAUUGGUUACGCUUCACAAGAGGAAGCCGCUGGUCAUUGAUGGAGUACCGAAUGAGAAUUCAGAAAAUAAUCAAACGCCUAAGCAAGAUGAUGAAGAAGACGUCUUUGAAGAGUGUGAAGAUAAGAUGAUAACCGACGAUGUAGAGAAACUUGAGGACGGAAAUAAAACAUUUGAAGAUAAAUUUUAAUGUUACCCAAAAGACAAUGAUAGAAUUUACAUCGAUAUUUUAAAAAAAUUGGAUGCAGAUUAUUGUAACAAUGAUAUAACGCAUGUAACUUUUGAGCUGUUGUGUGAUGCGAGUAAACAGCGAUUGUGUGAUUGAAUAUGUUUAAUUUUUGUUUGUUUGUUCCAUUAAAAAUUAUAAAAAUCGUUUCGACAAUAAA